rnacentral:rRNA from 1 species
AACGAACGCUGGCGGCAUGCCUAACACAUGCAGGUCGAACGAGAUCCUUCGGGGUCUAGUGGCGCACGGGUGCGUAACGCGUGGGAAUCUGCCCUUAGGUUCGGAAUAACAGUUAGAAAUGACUGCUAAUACCGGAUGAUGACGUUAAGUCCAAAGAUUUAUCGCCUGAGGAUGAGCCCGCGUAGGAUUAGCUAGUUGGUGUGGUAAAGGCGCACCAAGGCGACGAUCCUUAGCUGGUCUGAGAGGAUGAUCAGCCACACUGGGACUGAGACACGGCCCAGACUCCUACGGGAGGCAGCAGUGGGGAAUAUUGGACAAUGGGCGCAAGCCUGAUCCAGCAAUGCCGCGUGAGUGAUGAAGGCCUUAGGGCUGUAAAGCUCUUUUACCCGGGAUGAUAAUGACAGUACCGGGAGAAUAAGCCCCGGCUAACUCCGUG